CUUCAGUCAGCAUGUUUCCCUUCCUGCUGUGGGAAAUAAUUAAGACGGUUUUAUUACAAGCAGGGGCUACCUUGUGCCGGGGCACCUGGGGGCCAUUUUGUUUAAAGGACUGGGGAGCCAUUUUGUGGUUGGGGACUGGUGGACUGCUUGUGGUUCUGCUUGAAGUUGCUUAUUGCUGCUGUCUACCUGCUACACAUAGUUCUGCUUGAGUGCGAAGGCAAGCCAGUAAGAAUAUAAGGUGGUGAGACCAGCCUGGGCUCACUGCCAGGGAACCAUGCAGCCCGCGGCAGGGAAACAACCUGAUAGGUGGAUGAGGACAACCAAUGGACUGCACCAGAAGGCAAAGAUCACCUUUUAAAGAAGAAAAGAGAGAGGCCUGGCAUGGGAGGAGCGAGGGAGUGGUUAUGCAAAUCGAAGGGUUUUAAAAGGGCUCAUCCCUCCCAUUUGGGGUGUGCUCGAACCAGGUCCUGAGUUAGGUCCACCCAGCACACUGUUAAUAAAGUUCUUUGUUUCACUCUA